rnacentral:rRNA from 1 species
AUGGCUGCGGCUUCGACGGAGCCCGCGCUCCCCGGCGGCUCCCCGGCGGACGAGGACGCGGAGGCGGUGGUCGCCAGCGACGAGCUGCGCCAUCUCCCGGACCAGGCGCUGCAGGCGAGGCUGCAGCGCAUGCAGGCCAGCAUCCACGGAGGCAUCGCCGCCCGCCUCCCCGACGGCGGCAGGACGUAUCGCCGCAAGCUCCUAGCCGUACGCCGCGAGCUCGAGCGCCGCAAGGGCCAGGCUCCUGCGCUCCCCGCCACGGCCCCGCACUCACCGUCGCCAUUGCCCUCUUCCCAGCACCCGCCGCCGUGCCAAGGCGGGCCGCCGGACGACGUAGGAUGCAAACAUAUUGUGGAAUCGUCUGAUGUACAAGGGGCCUCUUCCUUGCCUGAUCAGGUGAAAGAUGAGCAAAUGGAGACCCCUGUAUGUCCAUCAAAGCAGCUGCCGGAUGCACACAUCAUCAAACCAAAAGUAGAGCCUUGCGACGACACACUGUCGCCAGCUCCAGAUGCGAGCGAGGAUUGUGAGACCACCCCACUCUCCUGCAGCCACCCCUUCUUCACCAUCAUCCUGUCGAGAUCUCAUGUUCAGAAGCCGUUUCAGCUGUACAUUCCAGGCCGCUUCCACAAGCACCUCCCGGAGGAGCGCACUUCCGCCACCCUCAUCUGCCGUGGGAGGUCAUGGGCCAUGCGCUACUGUGGUGACUUGAAGACGAAAAGGCUGGAUGCAGAUUGGAUGGACUUCGCUGUCGACAACCGGCUGCAGGUCAACGAUGCCUGUGUCUUCGAGCUUGUGACUCGCACCAGAGAGGAGGUGGUGUUCCAGGUCCAGAUACUACGCGGCGGCCUGCCGAAGGAUAUCACCUCUAAAGGGUACACCGCCGACGAGCCUCUGGUCAUUGUGGGUUAG